UACGGAGGGAGCUAGCGUUAUUCGGAAUUACUGGGCGUAAAGCGCACGUAGGCGGCUUUGUAAGUUAGAGGUGAAAGCCUGGGGCUCAACCCCAGAAUUGCCUUUUAGACUGCAUCGCUUGAAUCAUGGAGAGGUCAGUGGAAUUCCGAGUGUAGAGGUGAAAUUCGUAGAUAUUCGGAAGAACACCAGUGGCGAAGGCGGCUGACUGGACAUGUAUUGACGCUGAGGUGCGAAAGCGUGGGGAGCAAACAGG
rnacentral:rRNA from 1 species